rnacentral:lncRNA from 1 species
AUAUUUUUCUUUUUUUAAUAUAUGGAGUGCUAGGUUGGACUUAACUUGGAUAAUUUUGAUUCGAAUGUGCCACCACUUGAUCAAAAUAAUCUAAGAGGCAAGAUACAAGGAAUUGCAUAGUUGAUGUAAUUGACAAGAGUUGUCUACCUAUUUAUUUAUAUAUAGUUUGUUGUGUCACCACAAGGCUAUAUACAUUUGAAAUGGGA